AUCAAACUUCUGCCCUGGGCCUUUAGACAUUAGCAAAUCUAAAUUUUCAGUUGGAAGUCUUACUCCAACCACCUCCCGGACUGUUGAUAUCACCACUGCCGUUAUCUAAAAUGACACAAUCCAGGCAGGGACACAAGAAGUUGGAACAAUGAGUCUGUAAUACAGACUGAAUGUUUGCUCACAGCUGAUCUCAUGGACCAGUUUCUUCCCUGGAUGCCACCUGUAGGGAACUCACAAAGCUUCGGGAGCAAGGGUAAGUGCCAGUUACCUAGAAAGUCAAGGAUGCAUGCCUCAUAUAGGCAGGAGGGGGCAUGUGACUCCUCAGAAUAAAUAAAGUCCUGAUAGAUCUUUUUUCAGAAGCAGAAUUCAGUUAAAGCUGCUCAUGGAUUGUACUCACUAUUUCACAGGUUCUGGGCCUUUUGACAAGUGCCAUUGGAAUACAGAUUCCUGAUAGUCAGCUGUCCAAAGUGUUAAGCCAUUUAAGAAUAUGUCCUCUUAACAGAGGCACUGGCCCAUAUGGAAAUCCAGAAGGUGAUUCAUCCUCCUCGUGGCAUUUGUUUUAGUUCUAGCUAGCACUCCCCUGUCAUUUAUC
rnacentral:lncRNA from 1 species